GAUGAACGCUAGCGGCAGGCCUAAUACAUGCAAGUCGAACGGUGUCUUCGGACAUAGUGGCGCACGGGUGCGUAACACGUAUGCAACCUACCUUACAUUGGGGGAUAGCCUUUCGAAAGGGAGAUUAAUACCGCAUAAGACAGUAACUGGGCAUCCAGUAGCUGUUAAAGAUUUAUCGAUGUAAGCUGGGCAUGCGACCAAUUAGUUAGUUGGCGGGGUAAUGGCUCACCAAGACUAUGAUUGGUAGGGGAACUGAGAGGUCAAUCCCCCACACUGGCACUGAGAUACGGGCCAGACUCCUACGGGAGGCAGCAGUAGGGAAUAUUGGGCAAUGGACGCAAGUCUGACCCAGCCAUGCCGCGUGCAGGAUGAAGGCGUUAUGCGUCGUAAACUGCUUUUAUACAGGAAGAAACGACUCUUGCGAGAGGCAUUGACGGUACUGUAUGAAUAAGCACCGGCUAACUCCGUGCCAGCAGCCGCGGUAAUACGGAGGGUGCAAGCGUUGUCCGGAUUUAUUGGGUUUAAAGGGUGCGCAGGUGGUUUAUUAAGUCAGUGGUGAAAGACGGUCGCUCAACGAUUGCAGUGCCAUUGAAACUAGUAGACUUGAGUAAAGUAGAGGUGGGCGGAAUUGAUAGUGUAGCGGUGAAAUGCAUAGAUAUUAUCAAGAACUCCAAUUGCGAAGGCAGCUC
rnacentral:rRNA from 1 species